rnacentral:rRNA from 1 species
GACAGAGGGGGCAAGCGUUGCUCGGAAUUACUGGGCGUAAAGGGCGCGUAGGCGGGAUGGCAAGUCGGUCGUGAAAUCCCUCGGCUCAACUGAGGAGCGUCGAUCGAAACUGCCGUUCUUGAGGGUUGCAGAGGAGACUGGAAUUCCCGGUGUAGCGGUGAAAUGUGUAGAGAUCGGGAGGAACACCGGUGGCGAAGGCGGGUCUCUGGGCAACUCCUGACGCUGAGGAGCGAAAGCGUGGGGAGCAAACAGG